rnacentral:rRNA from 1 species
AUGAACGUUGGCGGCGUGGAUUAGGCAUGCAAGUCGCGCGAGAACCCCGCAAGGGGGGACAGCGGCGAAAGGGACAGUAAUGUGUAGAUUAUCUGCCCUCAGGUCCGGGAUAGCUGCGGGAAACUGCAGGUAAUACCGGAUAACAUCUCCGGAUCAAAGGUGUGAUUCCGCCUGAGGAUGAGUCUGCAUCCUAUUAGCUAGUUGGUGGGGUAAUGGCCUACCAAGGCAUUGAUGGGUAGCAGGUGUGAGAGCACGACCUGCGUCAUUGGGACUGAGACACUGCCCAGACACCUACGGGUGGCUGCAGUCGAGAAUCUUCGGCAAUGGGCGCAAGCCUGACCGAGCGACGCCGCGUGUGGGAUGAAGGCCUUCGGGUUGUAAACCACUGUCAGAGGGGAUGAAAUGCAGGUGGGUUCUCCCAUCUGUUUGACAUAGCCUCAGAGGAAGGACGGGCUAAGUUCGUG